rnacentral:lncRNA from 1 species
UCGCUAGUGCUUUAUUUUAACAAACAAAUAUUUUCUGUAUGUUUGAUACAUUGUAAUGUGUUAUAAGUUGUAACUAAAGCUUAGGUUUCUAUCUUGACUUAUUUGACACCUAUGUAUCACUUAUACUUGAGUAACACAGCCAUACCAGUAUCAGCUACUCUGAUACUUCUCUAUUUUACCACAAUCCAGUGUUAUAAGUCAGCAUGUAGGUUUCGUGCUAUAUUUACUUUCAUAAUACUUGUUAACUCUUUAUUUUUUUCGAACGCAUAAGAGACAUAUGCAC